rnacentral:rRNA from 1 species
AUUGAACGCUGGCGGCAUGCCUUACACAUGCAAGUCGAACGGUAACAGGUCAAGCUGACGAGUGGCGAACGGGUGAGUAAUGUAUCGGAACGUGCCCAGUCGUGGGGGAUAACUACUCGAAAGAGUGGCUAAUACCGCAUACGACCUGAGGGUGAAAGCGGGGGACCGUAAGGCCUCCCGCGAUUGGAGCGGCCGAUAUCAGAUUAGCUAGUUGGUGGGGUAAAAGCCCACCAAGGCGACGAUCUGUAGCUGGUCUGAGAGGACGACCAGCCACACUGGGACUGAGACACGGCCCAGACUCCUACGGGAGGCAGCAGUGGGGAAUUUUGGACAAUGGACGCAAGUCUGAUCCAGCCAUGCCGCGUGCGGGAAGAAGGCCUUCGGGUUGUAAACCGCUUUUGUCAGGGAAGAAACGAGUUUCUCUAAUACAGAGACUUAAUGACGGUACCUGAAGAAUAAGCACCGGCUAACUACGUGCCAGCCGCCGCAGUAAUAC